rnacentral:rRNA from 1 species
UACGGAGGGUGCAAGCGUUAAUCGGAAUUACUGGGCGUAAAGCGCACGCAGGCGGUUAAUUAAGUCAGCUGUUAAAGACCCGAGCUUAACCUGGAAAUUGCAUCGGAAACUGGAUGGCUAGAGUCUUGUAGGGGGGGGUAGAAUUCCACGUGUAGCGGUGAAAUGCGUAGAGAUGUGGAGGAAUACCGGUGGCGAAGGCGGCCCCCUGGACAAAGACUGACGCUCAGGUGCGAAAGCGUGGGGAGCAAACAGG